rnacentral:rRNA from 1 species
AUUGAUCGCUGGCGGCAUGCCUUACACAUGCAAGUCGAACGGCAGCGGGGGAGAAGCUUGCUUUUCCUGCCGGCGAGUGGCGAACGGGUGAGUAAUACAUCGGAACGUGCCCUGUAGUGGGGGAUAACUAGUCGAAAGAUUAGCUAAUACCGCAUACGACCUGAGGGUGAAAGUGGGGGACCGCAAGGCCUCAUGCUAUAGGAGCGGCCGAUGUCUGAUUAGCUAGUUGGUGGGGUAAAGGCCUACCAAGGCGACGAUCAGUAGCUGGUCUGAGAGGACGAUCAGCCACACUGGGACUGAGACACGGCCCAGACUCCUACGGGAGGCAGCAGUGGGGAAUUUUGGACAAUGGGCGAAAGCCUGAUCCAGCAAUGCCGCGUGUGUGAGGAAGGCCUUCGGGUUGUAAAGCACUUUUGUCCGGAAAGAAAUGGCUCUGGUUAAUACCUGGGGUCGAUGACGGUACCGGAAGAAUAAGGACCGGCUAACUACGUGCCAGCCGCCGCGGUAA